rnacentral:rRNA from 1 species
GUGGGGAAUUUUGGACAAUGGGCGCAAGCCUGAUCCAGCAAUGCCGCGUGCAGGAAGAAGGCCUUCGGGUUGUAAACUGCUUUUGUACGGAACGAAACGGUCCGGGUUAAUACCCUGGGCUAAUGACGGUACCGUAAGAAUAAGCACCGGCUAACUACGUGCCAGCAGCCGCGGUAAUACGUAGGGUGCAAGCGUUAAUCGGAAUUACUGGGCGUAAAGCGUGCGCAGGCGGUUUUGUAAGACAGGCGUGAAAUCCCCGGGCUCAAGCUGGGAAUUGCGCUUGUGACUGCAAGGCUGGAGUGCGGCAGAGGGGGAUGGAAUUCCGCGUGUAGCAGUGAAAUGCGUAGAUAUGCGGAGGAACACCGAUGGCGAAGGCAAUCCCCUGGGCCUGCACUGACGCUCAUGCACGAAAGCGUGGGGAGCAAACAGGAUUAGAAACCCUAGUAGUCC